rnacentral:pre_miRNA from 1 species
AGUGUAAUUGUUGAGUUAUGUGGUAAGAGUAUGUUCAGUUUUGUAAGAAACUGCUAAACUGUCUUCUAAGUUGGCUGUACCAUUUUGCAUUCCCAGCAACAAU